rnacentral:rRNA from 1 species
AUUGAACGCUGGCGGCAGGCCUAACACAUGCAAGUCGAGCGAGCGGCGGACGGGUGAGUAAUGUCUGGGAAACUGCUUGAUGGAGGGGGAUAACUACUGGAAACGGUAGCUAAUACCGCAUACCAUCAGAUGUGCCCAGAUGUGAUUAGCUAGUAGGGGGGGUAACGGCUCACCUAGGCGACGAUCCCUAGCUGGUCUGAGAGGAUGACCAGCCACACGGGAACUGAGACACGGUCCAGCAUCCUACGGGAGGGAGAAGUGGGGAAUAUUGAACAAGGGGCGCAAGCCUGAGGCAGGCAUGCCGCGUGGGUGAAGAAGGCCUUCGGGUGGUAAAGCACUGUAAGCGGGGAGGCGUUACCCGCAGAAGAAGCACCGGCUAACUACGUGCCAGCAGCCGCGGUAAUUC